UUACAACAAAAUUAUUUUUAUUUACCUGUGUACGUUAUUUUAUUUGGCGGCAUUUUGUCCAAGGUUAUGGUUGUCUUUUGAUUGAGUUAAGACUUUUCAAUUGAUAUUUUAUAGUGUGUCUUUCUAUGUUGUGAUGUCACACUAUUGUUUCAGGUAGGGUGAAGGUUGGCGCCUAUUAAAACGUUUAAACCAGCUGCAUUUGUUUGCACCUGUCCUAAGUCAGGAACCUGAUGUUCAGUGGUUGUCGUUUGUUGAUGUGGUUCAUAAGUGUUUCUCGUUUCCUUAUGUAAGUGCACGUAUACAUGUACAUUGAUAAGACUUUGAUUGAUUUUGGAACAUUCAAAUACGAAAUGAAAGAUGAAUUUAGGUUUGUUUUGUGAGGUUUUUAUAUUAACUCAAUUUCAAAACAGUUACAGGCUUUGUAUAGAGAUUUUUUCAACCCAAAAUAUGGUAACAGAUGUAUUGAUAUUCAUUUGCAUAAGGUCGAUUUCUAUCCGACGCAGCUCAUAUGUUAUAUCUUGGAUGUAAGAAGGAUAAGCUAUAGGCAGUACAAAUUAUUUGUUAUAACAUCCGGUAACCUUUCCCCAUAGUGAUGCCUUUACGCUUUUAUCAACAACCCUAUAAAAAAUCAGUAUAAACCAUUCAUUUUGCUGCAAUAUGCAUUCCAAAGAUCGCACUAAAGAUUUCAGUAGCGUAAGGACACCGAGACCUUAGAUUGCCAAUAAUGUUUUAGUAAAAUAGAUAUUUAAUUUAAAUACUUUUAAAUGGAAAAUGACCAUAUUUUUCAAGAGUACAGCGUGGUAAAUUCUUGUUAUUGUUCAGUGAAAUUGCGUUAGACUAUUCAAUGAAAAAAACCCAUUAAUUCUGUUAGUGAUAUUUCAAUGAAUGAAAAAUUGGGCAACUAAAUUAAUGUUUUUAGAUAAUUAUUAUUUCCAUGUUAACACACUCGAAUCUUAACAGAAUCUAUGUUUCUAAGAAUUUCAGGUAUGUUCUGCAAUGCACAUUAGUAGAGUAGUGAAUCUCUUACUAAUUUCACUUUGUCCACAUGUCCCUUUAUCCAUCUCUCCGUUUGUUCAUCUGUCAGCAUUUCUACGUCGUAUGGUAUGUCAAAAUUGCCUAGGCCAAUUACAAUACUUUAAUAUCAAAAUAUUACCAAUUUUGUGAAACAUCUUAUUGUGCUAGGAUUUAAACGAAUAUUGAAACAUAGGUAUUAUAUGUUAUACAAUUUUUUACAUUGUUUGUUCUUCAUUUUUAUGGUCAUCCUAAGGUUCAAUGAUUACCAUGACACUCCUAGUUUUCGGCGGAUUGGAGACGGAUGCUUGUCUUGUUUCUCAGUAAAAGAAGAUUUUUAUCGGACAGAAAAGGAAAAUAUGUCCAGUGUAUGAACACAUGUAACAAUGUGUGAUUCCUUAGAUAACAUCAAACUGUUCUGGCUUAAAAAAAACAAUUAAAGGAAUAAAAACAAAAAAAACAAAAAGACAAAAAAAAAAUGAAACAGAUAUUUUUCUGAUAUGCUCUUUUAUGCAUGUAUAUAUUAUAAUAGCAUAUUUGUUUGUGUGUUAACAUUAUGUUUGUAUUUAUUUUGAAUUAAGUAGCAUUUGCAAUAUUCCCAAAAAAACAACUAUUCAACAAUAGGAAAUAGAUGUGAACUACUAGCUUUCUUGAGUAAGUGGGUGUCUACCUUUAGCAAUGGAAACAGGUCGUUACACCAAGCCAAAAACUCUUCUUAAAGACCGAAAAUGUAAAUAUUGUAUAGUUGAUUUUGUAGAAGAUGAAAAACAUUUUUUAAUGCAUUGUGAAUUUUAUUCAGAUCUGCAAUAUGGACUAUUUUUGAAAGCAAGUGCAAUUAACCCAAAUUUUAACGAUUUUAAUCAUGAUGACAAAUUUAUUUUUCUGAUGUCACAUGACUGUAUACAACCCUUUUUAGCAAAAUCUUUAUAUUAUAUGUUUAAUCGCAGAAAAUAUUGGUGUAUAGUAUGUUCUAUUAUUGUAAAAGUUUUAUUUAUUCAUUUUUAAUGAAUGUCAGAAUAAUUCUUUAAGCGAAAUUGUCUCAUAAGUCAGUUGUGGCUGGAUACCGAUAUUUUAACUUCGAUUGAAAUUUUUAUUUGUAUUUCUAUACUUAUAUUAUGAUGUAUGAUAUUGUUCUGUAUUGGUAUGUGACACUAUAAUAAAAUAUUCUGUCUGUC